GAUGAAGAAGUAGCGAAAUGCGAUAAGUAAUGUGAAUUGCAGAAUUCAGUGAAUCAUCGAAUCUUUGAACGCACAUUGCGCCCGCCAGCAUUCUGGCGGGCAUGCCUGUUCGAGCGUCAUUUCAACCCUCGACUUCCCUUUGGGGAAAUCGGCGUUGGGGACCGGCUGUAUACCGCCGGCCCCGAAAUGAAGUGGCGGCCCGUCCGCGGCGACCUCUGCGUAGUAAUCCAACUCGCACCGGAACCCCGACGUGGCCACGCCGUAAAACCCCCGACUUCUGAACGUUGACCUCGGAUCAGGUAGGAAUACCCGCUGAACUUAAGCAUAUCAAUAAGCGGAGGA
rnacentral:misc_RNA from 1 species